AGAUUUUUUUUAAAGAUAGAUAUGAUAAAGCUGAUGAAGUUCUUCUGUCACAUUUUAGAAAAGACAGAUGAUUUUGACUUGGGAAAAUACUUGAUGGAAGGUGAAGAAAUGGAAAUUGUUCCAGACAUGUACACACUGUCGCCUGCUGAAAGGGUGCCAGGAUCUGUGUGAUUUCCCAUGUGGGGACCCACUGCGCCGGCUGAAACAACUUUGCUGUCCAGGAAUCUUUUGGCCUGGGUUUCUGUACUUUACCUUGUGGGUUCAGAGGGGAGACUGCUGUUCCUAAGCCCUGUUGAGCAUCGUUUCUGGUGUGGUAGAGUUGACAGGCCGCCUGCUUAUGAUUACUCCUGA
rnacentral:lncRNA from 13 species